rnacentral:siRNA from 1 species
UUAUACUUGUAGUAUGAAAUGCUA